UACGUAGGGUGCGAGCGUUAAUCGGAAUUACUGGGCGUAAAGCGCGUGUAGGCUGCUCGGAAAGUCGGAUGUGAAAGCCCUGGGCUUAACCUAGGAAGUGCAUUCGAAACUUCCGAGCUGGAGUUCUGGAGAGGAAGGCGGAAUUCUCGGUGUAGAGGUGAAAUUCGUAGAUAUCGAGAGGAACACCGGUGGCGAAGGCGGCCUUCUGGACAGUGACUGACGCUGAGACGCGAAAGCGUGGGGAGCAAACAGG
rnacentral:rRNA from 1 species